rnacentral:snRNA from 1 species
AAAUCUGUUUUACACAGAAGAUAGUGAUCCAUAAGGCUGUUGUAUCAGGUCGAGGCUCAUUCAUUGCACUGCGGAUGGGCUGAAGCAUCCGAUCACACCAAAUGUAGGUGACUCGGGUGCGUAAAGUUUGCGUAUGAGAGACGUUCUCGAUAUCCCCUU